CCCGCUGACGUCCGCUGCCCGGGCGUCGUGCGCAGUCGGGCAGGACGCCCGCUGGUGUGGGGGUCAGAGAAAAUUCCCUUUUGAACGGUCGCAGGCGACCUUUGCCCAGUCGUGGCGGCCGGCCGUGGGGUCGCAGGGCCGUGGCGGGCAGGGAGCCAGGUUGGCUGCAGGCACGGUGGGGGCGCUCGCUCCCCGCCUUUUCCCUGUCUCGUUCCCUCCCCCGCGCUCCAGGGCUCCUGACCCCAAAGGGAGCCGUGAUUCCCAGCAGGAGAGUGACUACUGGCUGGUACAGCAUGUCCAGAACCAGGGCCACACAGAGCAGCAUGGUCGUGAGCAGACCCCCAAGGACCGCCUCAGCUGUUCUGAACCAAUGCAGGUUGCCAGGACGCGGAUGGCUUCAUAGACCAAACAACACUAGUGAGCAUCUUCAUGAGCCAGCCCAUGCCUGGUUCAAGAAGAGGAGAACAAGUAGGAAAGCCUUAUGAAGAGUGUGAUCCAUCGGGUAGCACUUGAAAGAGUUUAAAAAAAUUCUGGAUUUUUGCUUUAAGGUCUUAUCUUGAGCCUCUGCAGUUACUUCCUCCUCUUCCCCAAAAUCUGCUGAAAUGUGAGAAAAGUUAAAAAGAGAAGAAAAGAAAACAGGAAGCUUUGUAGUACUGCUGGAAAAGAGGAAAAUAUGCCAUUGACAUAUGAGAAAUAUGGAACUUGGGAAUUUGUGAAACAGAAAGGACCAAAGGAAGGAAAGUAGGAAGAAAAAACCUAUCAGACUUGAACGGCAGUAACGUUGGUAUCUCUUGAGAAGUAAGUGGAUGGCAUCCUCAGUAUAACCUGAGAAGGUUUCCUUUUUCAAGCGAUAGAGGUGUGCUAUAAGGGUCAUGUGUGAGGGUAAAAUUACAUUGCUUUAGAGGCUGUACCAGAAGCCCACAUAUUAAUGUUUCCUGAGUUUUGCUUUAUAUGGAGAGUGUACUAAAUGAAGAACUUGUAGGCCAAGGAGGAAAUAAAGGUAAAAUUCAAAGGCUAUUUAGAAAUCAUUAAGAUGGAGUGAUCAUGUAUAAAAAUAUGUGGGAUGUGGUCAAAGUCAUACACAGAAAAGGACUUGUCUUAAUUUCUUCUUUCUUUUUUAAAUUGAAGUAUAGUUGAUUUGCAACAUUAAUUUCAGGUGUAGAACAGAGUGAUUCCGUAUUUUUGUAGAUUAUACUCACAUGAAGUUAUGACAUGUUGGCUGUAUUCCUUGUGCUGUAAGUUACAUCUUUGUAUCUCCCUUUCUCCCCAGUAGUCUGUCCCUCUUAAUCCCCUUCAUGAGUCCUGCCCCACUCCCUCUCCUCAUUGGUAACCAGUUUGUUCUCUGUGUCUGUGAGUCUGUUUCUGUCUUGUCAUGUUCAUUCAUUUGUUCUGUUUUUUACAUUCCACAUGUAAUAAAAACUGAAAAUAACUGA